UACGGAGGGUGCAAGCGUUAUCCGGAUUCACUGGGUUUAAAGGGUGCGUAGGCGGGCAGGUAAGUCAGUGGUGAAAUCUCCGAGCUUAACUCGGAAACUGCCGUUGAUACUACUUGUCUUGAAUAUUGUGGGAGGUAAGCGGAAUAUGAUCAUGUAGCGGUGAAAUGCUUAGAUAUGAACAUAGAACACCAAUUGCGAAAGGCAGCUUACUACACAAAUGAUUGACGCUGAGGCACGAAAAGCCGUGGGGAUCAAACAGG
rnacentral:rRNA from 1 species